CAGAACGAAUGAGCAGGAAGCUCCACCCCGAGCAAGCAGGUUUCAGGCUGGGGGAGGGGAGACUACACUAUCCUCUAGAGACCCGGUGGAAAUCCUCAUGAGAUCAGGGCAGUGGAAAGUGCCCUGGUGUCUGUGUCCUUAAGCCUCUCAAUGGUACCACGACUUCGAGCUGCUUCUUGGAACCACAGGAGGGGCUGCAUGCUGCAUGGACCGGAGCUGGCUGGGUGACCACAGGAUCUAGUCCAUCCUCAGGUCCAGUGCACAAAUGGCUUAAACUCUUCUCCUUCGGGUCUUCUAAAUUGUGCUUCUUUUAUUACGUACAGAAUUUAUGUAUUCUUAGGUUUUCACAUUCCACUAGAGUAGCCUGUAAGUCACAACAGGCGAUGAAAGCCCUUGUGCUUAAAACUGGUUAAUUCUAAAUCACCUUAAAGGGCAGAAGUUGUAUUUGGCCAAGGCCCUGAUGAAGCCAGUUCUCUACAGAGUCUGUUCUCUAUAAUGUGAGCACAGUGUCCCUGAACUCUAACAGCGCACCAGCCUGCAGGUAAAUCUUGCUUUCAUGUUAGGUCCAUUAAGUAGUGUUAGGUUUGAAUUAUGUCACCUCCAAAAUAUUUGUUAGAGCCCUGGUCCCCAGUGCCUCAGAUGAGACCUUUGGUGGAGAUAGGGUCUUUAUGGUGGUAAUCAAGUUGCAGUGUGAUCAUUGUGGUUGGUCUAACCUGACCUGGGAUGUCUGGAUACACAACAUGUGGAGGGAGGGUGGGCUGUGCACAUAGAAGAAGAGGCAUGGGUCAGAUUUCGCCUCAUAGUCCUCAGAAGGAGCAGACUGCCUCAACCUCAGGUUUACUUCUGGCCUCCAAACUGUGAGACAAUCCUUGCCUACCAUCGAGGGCACUCAGCUGACGGCAGCCGUAGCUCACAGAGUAUACACUUUCUUCUAGAGAAAUCUUGGAAGAGCUCCUGGUCAAAGUACUUUGCAGCUGAAAGAAGUUAUUCUUGGCCUGGAGAGGGGGUUAGAGACCCACACUCUGAUGUUAACUCCAAAAGACCCAGAGAGCAAAACAUCUAGUAUUCCUCCCCACCUUUAUAUUUUGAAUUUUGCAGAGAGAAGGUGACAUGUAGGCCAGGAUUUGUCCCCAGUCCUCAAUGCCCACCCACUGCCAUUAAAUGGAAUGUAUCUAAAACUCAGAAUUAUGCGGAUUUGAGUAGCUUUUAAAAUUGACCAAGUCUUGGAGUUGAGGGUGCAACUCAGAGGUACAUCCUAUUACUUAGUGUGCGUAAGUUCCACCCCCAGUACCAGGAAACAAAACCAAAGCCUUAAAUAUAUAGGAUUCUCUUCCACUGGGGACUCGUGUAUAGUUCAGGAGUACAUCAUAAGCUUAGCAUAUGUGAGGUGCUAAGUUCUUCUCCCUGUCUCUGUCUCUGUCUCUGUCUCUGUCUCUGUCUGUCUCUGUCUGUCUUUGUCUCUGUCUCUGUCUCUGUCUCUGUCUCUCUCUCUCUCUCUCUCUCUCUCUCUCUCUCUCUCUCUCUCUCUCUCCCUCUGUGUGUGUGUAGUGUCUAUGUAUUGAAUAAAUAAAAUUAGCCAAGUCUGGUUCUACUCACUAUUGUGUCUCUGACUGCGUAGUGUUGUUACUGGUGUAGAACUAAGCACACACUUCUGUUUUGCCACUCUGGACACUUACAGCAGUUGAAAUACAUGGUUCUUUGUGUUGGAGAAUAGAGUAUGUUAACCCAGCAAAGCCAGAUCCAUCCUGAUUCUGAGAACUGGAGGAGCCUACUGGGGGCAGGCAGUUGCAGGUGACAGUCCUAACCAGUCCUGGAACAGAUGAGAAGUUUAUAGGCUGUUAAUAAACUGGAACCAAUUGGUGACCAUGGGCUGAUUGUGCCUGAGGCUGGGGACGCAGGUCCUUGGGAGCGCUCACACUUGUGCUGCGUUAUCUGCAUAGAGCGGAGGCGCCUGCCGCUGCUCGCAUUUGUUACAGAGAAUAGACAUAUGUCCCUCGCACUAGCUCAGGGAAUAGCUAAUGAAGCCACACAAUGAUUGCUUAUGCCCUGGGCUGUGACAAACCAGGCUCUGUCACUCUCUCACAGAACCACGAAAUGGUAGUGUGUUUUUAAUGGACAAUAAUGAAUAUAUUUGAAAUAUAUUAGAAUUGAGUUAGCUUAUGCACUCAACUUUAAAACAACAUCAACAACAAAGCGUCUUCAGAAAAGGACUUUGUCCAUUUGAAAGGGCUGGGAACAAGAGUCAAGUCUCAGUAAAGAAAAAAAAAAUUAGAUGGUGUUGUUUGUUAUAAUUUUGUUAUACUUUUAAUGAGUGGAUUAUAUACUUUGGGGUGGGAGUGGUAUUUUAUGCAGUAUUUGAAGAAAAAAAUGGCAUACUCCAGCCAUGGUGGUGGUUUCCAACAUAUUCUGGAGGCAAAAUGCUUAUGUUUUAAGCAGGGGUCACUUUUCUUGUGCUAAACCUUGGAUCCCCUCCUUUAAUGUCAGUGAGACUCACAAGGACAUUUUUAAUUAAAAAAUUAAAUUGUGGAAUCAUUUUAGAACAUUGAAUUCAGGCAAAUUUGAAUGUGGAUUCCAGUGACCUAACUACCAGCUCUUAGCCUGGCACCCACAACACAUGGCCUAGGGUUUCCUGGGGAGCCCCACUUUUCUCAGUUGUCAUAAGGGAGAGUACCCAGGGUACACGGGCGGGAACAAGCCGCCACAGAAGAGAACUCUGGGAAGGCUGGUGUCAGUGGUUACUACUGUGUCAGUAUAAGUUGUAUUAGUUAGCACUAGUGGGUACUAUUGUAUCCGUAAUAAGUCAUAUUCCUUAUCAUUGGUGGUUACUUUGUGUCAGUAAUAAGUUGUAUUAGCUAGCCUUAGUUCUCCCUAAGAGAAGCAUGAUUGCAGGGUUAUAUGAAGGACUGAGAUUUGUCUCAGAAAAAGAAAAACAAAGUGAUUUUUCCCCCUACCUUAUAGUCUUAUGACCAGGAAAAAAAAAAACCAAACCAAACCAAACCAAACAAAACAUUAUGCUAGCCAUGUUGCUGAGACAUAUGCAGGAUCCCUUGUUGGAAAACGAGUAAGAAUUUCAAGAUCGUAACAGCAGAACACUGGCCUGAGCUUGUGCCUUUUCCACGAAGAAGGUGUGUGACUGCUGAUAGAGCAGAUGGCCAACCUGUCAAGAGUCAUAUUAUUGUCAAUGCGGACACAAAGGAAGAGGAGACCAAAGACCAGGGGCUCAGGUGAGCCGAAAUGAGUUAAAAAUAAGGAUUGCAAAUUUAACUUGUUCAUUUGCACCAGAUAUUUAUGUGUAUGCAUGUGAGAGUACACGUGCACUCGCAUGUGUAUGUGCAUGCAUAAAUUCGUGCGUGUACACAUGUGUGUGUGUGUAUGUGUGUGUGUGUGUGUGUGUGUGUGUGUGUGUGUGUGUAGGGGGGUAUAUAGGUUUGAGGUCAAUGCCUGCCUGGGUGAUAAGUGAAGAAGAAAUACCAGGAUGUACAAAGCUGGUAAGAAUUGCAAAGACUCAUGGGAGGAAUGCUACAGGAAGGACAGAAAUGGACAGUGGCCUGCUUGAUCAUCCCAAGGUAUCCAGAAACAAACAUGUGGUGGAGUGGGGUGGUACAGCUUUCCUUACGGGACUGCUGACCGUGGGUGACUGGAUCAAGGACUCCCUUGGAUAAGGGAUCAAGGUAUUCAAUUCCCUUGUAUCAAAUGUCACAAGCAGUGCAUAUAGUCUGUGCACAUGAUCACAUAUCCUUUAAUCAUCUCUAGAUUGAUUAUAACAUCUAAUACCAUGCUGAUGCUAUAUAAGUAAGUGGCACUAUUUGGAUGUGUGGCCUUGUUGGAGUAGGUGUGUCACUGUGGGCAUGAGCUUUAAGACCCUCAACCUAGCUGCCUGGAAGUCAGUCUUCUAGCAGCCUUCAGAUGAAGAUGUAGAACUCUCAGCUCUGCCUGCACCAUGUCUGCCUGGAUGCUGCUAUGCUUUCCACCUUGAUGAUAAUGGACUGAACCUCUGAACCUGUAAGCCAGCCCCAAUUAAAUGUUGUCCUUAUAAGAGUUGCCUUGGUCAUGGUGUCUGUUCACAGCAGUAAAACCCUGACAAUAUUCUUUAGGUAGAGAAGAUGACAUGCACAGCCUCCUUCGGGGGUAGAAGGAGCAGUGAUUUCCGUUUCUUUUGGAUGUGUGCGUGGUCAGGACAGGUUGGGUGAAUACGACUAAGACGGAGAAACACAUCUGUGUUUUGAAGCACCGGGUUGGUGAUGGACCGGAGAAGGAUUGUAAAUCCACCUGGCAAGUCCCUGACUUCACAGUACGUCACAAUUCAUCUUAAUCGUCAGCUUGAAGGGAUUAGGUUGACCGUACAGACAAACCUCUGGCCAAACCUGAGAAGGAGCUCCUAGAUUAGGCUGAGGUAGAAAGACUCACGAUAAGUAGUGACAGUAGCACCAUUCAGUGAGUGGGGGUGGGGUGGCACGGGGGAACUGAACACCGGCAUUCUUGUCUCCCUGAUUCCUGACCACAGGUGCACUGGGCCUAGCCACCUGCAUCCCACACCAUGACUUCACGCCAUGAUGGACCUCACCUUCCCUUGUGAGCCGACACAGCGACCCAACUGCUCUGUCAGGUGUUCUGUUAUAAUAUGAGAAAAGUAACAAUUACAGCCUUCCUCUGAACCUCUUUUUCUUUAUCUCUGAGAUGAUGGCAUCAGAUUAGCUCAUUGGCUCCUCCAUCAUAGAGGCAGAGCAGGGCGUUCAGACAGACAGAGUCCCUUUCCAGUGGGGCAGGACAUAAUUUAUUCACACAAAUCUCCUGGGCAUGUAUUCCUUGUGAUUUUAUUAGCCUGGAAGUUAAGGUUAUAUUUGUUUCCUGACACGCCGCUGAAUGCCUCAAAUCUCAAUGGUUUUUGGUAACUUUCUGUUUUGAUUCGUGGAAGACUGUGUAACAGCCGCUGUCCUGGUCAGCCAUGCUUUCUUCCCCUGCUAUGUAUCAGUCUCCUGCUAGGUAUCCUGCACAGUCAGGUUUGUGAGGCAGAAUUGAGACUCUGCUCACGUUUUAGUCAGAAGGCUCUCUAAUGAACUCAAGGAUGGUCUGAUAUUUAGCUUUUCUCAAGUCCAUGUUCCCACCUGAUCCGUCUACUAGGACCUGUUUAAAUUCUCAGCCUUCCUCUAGCCUGCCCCUACUUUUGAGCACCGUGUCUGCUCGGUCUCUCACCAUCUCUGGAAUCACGCGGGACCUGGGAGGGUCUCCUCCAUGUACGACAGCAUUAUUCUGUGUCCUCAUCAGCCCUGCCGUCUCUUUAGCUGGUCCUCCCAGAGAGAAGGGCAUGAACCUCCUUGGGAGAGCCUUGUAUCCUCCUGCCCGGACGCUGUGGGUACUGACUUCUGUUGGACUUCUCUGAGCUGGUGUCCCACCAGGUCACCGAGUCAUCUCAGCAUGAUAAUCGAUCCCCUGUUCACUGUCACCUCAGCCCAGUGAGCAUCACGCUCCCUUUCCAGUGGGGCAGGACAUAGUUUAUUCAUUGAGGUCACCUUCAUGCAAAUCUCCCGGGCAUGUACUUCUUGUGAUUUUAUUAGCCUGGAGGUUAAAGUUAUAUUUGUUUCAUGACAGGAUGCUAAGUGCCUCAAAUCACAAUGGUUUGGGGUAACUUUCCGUUUUGAUUCGGGGAAAACUGUGUAACAGCCACUUUCCUGGUCAGUCAUGCUUUCAUAUCCCGCUAUUUAUUAAGCAAUCUUGUCCCAGAAAACAAAAUGACGAAGGUUGAAUUAGUACAAUGGGGAAAGGCAGAGGUAGAGUUCUAACUGCUGGGGACCAGAGUUGGGGACCAGUGCCAUAUGCCAGGUGGAGAAAGCCUGAGUCCUCUGUAUCGGAUUUCCUUGUUUUUUUACACUCCUGAUUUCACCCGUCUGGUGUAAAAAUAAGCACACACAUGGGCACACACACAUACACACAUCACACCACACACCACACAUACCUCACAUAGUAAAUGCUGGUUAUGCUGUUGAGAGAGAGUCAGAGGGAGGCAAGCCACCAAGUGUUCAAAUGUGGCACCUAACCAUUGAUUUCCAACAGCAUUCAAGCUUAGCGGUGAAUCAGCCAGGCAGCGGGUGACGAUCCCUUGUCCCCUGGAGUCAACCAGGCAGAUGCUAGCUUUGCACACAGCAGCAACCAGGCUUAUUGUGGUUGGCAGGUCUAGUGGACUCCAUCUCUCCCUUAUGUGCAGAGGCAACUCUGCCAAGACUCUUUCUCUUUUCUCCUCACCACUUCCUUUCUAAAGCCUUAAUCUUCCAGCAUCAUAAGCCCUUGAUGGUUAGACUCCUACUCAAAAGCUUUGGGGGGGGCGUGGAUCCCCUUUUCUCUGGCCACCUUGUGCAGCAGACCCUUCCCACCUCUGAGCUAUGCUGUGCAUGGUUUCCUUUUCUUGCUCCAUCCUUUUCCAGAGGAAUUGUCAUCUGCCACCCUGUGAUUAGUGUCCCUUAGGGUGCGGCAGCCCCUUUCCACUACCUGAGACUUUAAUCCUUCCUCCCAGUGUACCGUGCUCACCUGAUUUCCCUCUAAUCCAACAAAAUCCCUCCACCUGACCCCAAUGCACAGGUGAUUAGCUAUCUCUGCUUCUACUUCCCCCAGUGCUGGCCUGUGUGUAGCAUCUUCUCUAAGAGCUCACGAGGAGAGCAGAUCUUUGGUGGAGACCAUUAACGGUAGACAUAAGUGAAACAUGGUGUGACAUCCUAAAUUAAAUACUCUGCUUUUCUCAAGCACAGACAAAGGACACCAGUCAGGAAAUGAGUCCCUGCGGUUUAGUUAAAUCACAAUAACUGGGGUUGAGGAUGUAGCUCAUUUGCUAGAGCGUUCACCUAGGACGCAGGAAGCCCUGGAUUUGAUCUCCUGUCCCACAUAAAUGACAAUUGGUGGCUUAUACUUGUAGUUCCAACACUCAGGAGGUAGAGGCAGGAGGGUCAGGAGUUCAGGGGCAUUCUUGGCUUCACAGCAAGUUUAAGGUCAGCCUGGGAUACCUGAGACACUGUCUCCAGGAAAAAAAAAAUCACACACACACACACACACACACACACACACACACACACACACAAACUAUGCUAAUGUCUUAAGGAAGCAUUUACAUAUUUGUCUGACUUUCAUUGCAGCAUUUCUGUGAAUCUAGAUGUGUUCCUAAGUGAAAAAGAAAAAUUAGUCCUGGCUGGCCUGGAACUCACAAAGUAGGCCAGGCUAACCUCAAACUCACAGAUCUGCCCACCUCUGUCCAAUUUCUGGAAUUUAAAGACAUGUGCCACCUCACUUGGCAAUAUUUUCUUUCUUUCUUUCUUUCUUUCUUUCUUUCUUUCUUUCUUUCUUUCUUCCUUCCUUCCUUAUUUUCUUUCUUUCUUUCUUUCUUUCUUUCUUUCUUUCUUCCUUUCUUCCUUUCUUCCUUCCUUCCUUCCUUCCUUCCUUCCUUUCUUUCUUUCUUUUCUUUUUUUCUUCAAGACAGGGUUUUUCUGUGUAGCCCUGGCUGUCCUGGAACUCACUUUGUAGACUAGACUGGCCUUGAACUCAGAAAUCUGCCUGCCUCUGCCUCCCAAGUGCUGGGAUUAAAGGCAUGCGCCACCACUGCCCAGCUGCAAUAUUUUCAAAUAAGAGAAAAUUGAAGAGAACAUGUAUGCUUUUCAAACAUGCCAACUUGGUGUCAUCUUUACAAGCUGCCACUUGAUGCCUUGUGGUCGCUGUGAUUUUAUUCUCUCCUGGGUAGCUAGAGAUAAAGACAGAUCUUGAGUCAGUACAACUGGAAGAAUCCUAGCACUAGUGUGAAUUUUUCCCUCUAACGUUUCACUGAGUUCAGUCUACAGUAGAUGAGGCAGAUAAGUUGACUAUCUCUUUAUUGUAAAUACAUCCCGUUAGGAAACCAAAUGGAUCAAGUUUCUUGCAUUUUUCAGACCUUUCUUUGUUUCAAAAAUAAUCCUGGAGUCAGCAAAAUGCAUCAGUGGGGUGAAGACCCCAAGCCUAAUGCCCUGAGUUUGACUCCAGGACCCACAUGAUAGAGUAGAGAAUCAACUGUAAGAUGUCCUCUGAGCUCUACACAUCAGCCACAGUUGUGCCUCCUCUCUGUUUGUCUGUCUCUCUAUAACUGUCUCCGUGUCUCUAUCUAUAACUCUGUCUCUGUGUCUCUCUCUGUCUCUGUGUCUCUCUGUCUCCCCAUCUGUGUCUCUGUCUCUAAACCUUUGUCUCUGUGUCUGACUCUGUCUCUGUGUCUCUCUAUAACUCUGUCUCUGUGUCUCUCUCUGUCUCUGUGUCUCUCUCUGUCUCCCCAUCUGUGUCUCUGUCUCUAAGCCUUUGUCUCUGUGUCUGACUCUGUCUCUGUGUCUCUCUAUAACUCUGUCUCUGUGUCUCUCUCUGUCUCUGUGUCUCUCUGUCUCCCCAUCUGUGUCUCUGUCUCUAAGCCUUUGUCUCUGUGUCUGACUCUGUCUCUUUUAUAAUUGUAAAGAAACAACAAAAGCAGUGCCUGUCUCAGAGCUGUCUGAGAAAAAUCACCAUGUGAUGGCUUAAAUUUAGAAUGUUCCCCCAGGCCCAUGUGUAGAAGACUAGGUGUUCAGCUGGAGGUGCUGUUGUGGGAGACGCUGGGAAUCUUGGGAUGUGGGGCUUAUCUGGAGAAAGCAGCCCCUUGUGGCAUUUAUCCUGCCUUCCAUCCUCUUUUCUUCCUUCCUCUGCUUCCUGUCCACAAUGAUCUGAAUACCGAAUACCUUCUGUUGCAUGUUCCUCCUGCACCUAUGUUCUGACCCAACAUAGGUACAAAAGCAGAAGUGCUCAGGACAAUGGAUUGAGGUCCCUGGAAUUGUGGGACAAAAUAAAGAAUUUCUUCUUUAAGUUGGUGGUGGUAGAUAUCAUUUCACAGCAGCAAAAGUCUGACACAUUCUAUGUCUUCCUCGAGUCUCUUAUAUCUCAGAGUUCAGGGACAAAAGGCUACUAACAGGAACUUUAAAUAAAAUGAAAUGUCUGACAGGAUUCACAUCAAAUGCACAGUCUGUGUUCUUUGUCACUGCUGUCACUGUCUGUCCAUGAACAGAGUAGGUGCUGUAUGGAAAGAGCUGAUGUGGUCACCAGCCAUUCUGUACCCUCUGCUGGAUCUGAUGCUCCCAGGCCAGACCCAGAGUCACUCAAAGUCUGUCCUGGGCCAUCAAGUCCCCUGGACUCUGAUUCUGUUGACAAGAACAAGCAUUCCUGGGCAGCAGUCCAGGUCAUUGAACUUCAGGAUAAUCAAGAGUAGAAUUAUUGGCCAACUCGGUGUGGACAUCUAAGAUAGUAGGCUUACACCACAGCCCAGCCUACCCACAGCUCUCACCCCUCACAUCCUUCUUCCCGUGGCCCACUCCCCUCUUCCUUAGCUUCCCUGCCGAGCCCCAGGCGUUAGCUUUCUAUGAACACUCAGAAAGAGCAUAAAGUCGAGUUGGUCAGUGCCCUACUUACAGACUGAGGUUGUGGUUACUGUGGUCUGGCCUCCGAGUAAGUAGCCUGUUGUCUCACAGCAUAGAGAUGUACCAUUCAGUCGGUAGCCACAAGCCACGGGUGGCGUUACAAGAGUCAAACCUGAUUAACGUGAAAUAGCACCUAUAUUCCCCAAGCUCCUUUGCAGUUGGAUGUGACCACAUGACUGGGCCGCUCUGGAAUCUGGAUGAACUGACCUUGCUUUGGUACUCCAAAGGGGGAGGGAGCCCAGCCUUCCUUGCUCUGGCUUCCUAGAAUUUGAGUGUGAUGGAAGGUGUGGAGUAGUCACCCCAGCCACAGAAAGGGGACGAUGCAUUGAGGGUGACAAAGAGAAGGUAUUCUGGCCCCCCGGAUAUCAAGCUACCUUCCUAGACUUCAUCUUCCUCUAAACUGUUUUGGAGCUAGCUGUCUUUCUGUGCCUCGGCUAACACACAAUUCAAAUGACCUUCUCCCAUGUCUGCUUCUGCUGCAUAUAGUACCAGCCUUGCUGGCCUUAAGCUCUCUUUUUUUCUUUGCUUCCCUUCCAAGUAAAAUUCACUGGUAUGAGGUCCUUUUAUCAACCACAUUGUAUUGAUUGCGCUGUGAUAAUGGCUUAAACCCUCUCCCCAGUAAUGGGUAUUUUGCAGUCUCUCUGGAGAUACUUGGCCACACUGCAUUAACAGGAAAGGGGCUGAGCAUCCCAGAUAGGCUAGGGAUUUUGGGGUUCAUGCAAGCUUCCUAAGGGUCCCCCAUGAAUACAGCAAGACUUAGACCAGUUUGCAAGUCCACUGGUUAGUAACAGACCUGAGUGUCUACUAUGGAGUUGAAGAGUUGACAGUCCUUCCUGGUGUCUGUGUGCCUCUGCCUUGGCAUUGAUGUGAUAUGGCAUUCUAUGUUCCACUCUCAUCCUCAUUGCCCAGCCCUGGGGAUGUGAGCUGGAGAAGAGAUCAUGGCUCUGUGGGCAGCUUGGCAUGGCUCUGUGGGUGGCUCAUUACUAAAGACGGCCAUCAGACCCCAGAUUCAUCUUAGGACAAGGGUGCCUUAGGCUAUUAGCCCAAUCGUAUCUGCUGCAGCCUUUGCCUCCAGAUGGAUGAGUGGGGGCUGGACCGCAGUGCUUGCUGCUUCCAUUUAGAAUGCAGGGAAUCAGGUGAACAUUUCCUUGGAAGCAUGUCUUUGUAACAUCCUUUUGUAGCUGCCAGAAAGCCUGGUGUGUGUGUGUGUGUGUGUGUUUGCAGCUAUGCAUGUGGCCAGAUAUGUAUGUGUGCAUAUGUGCACGCACAUAUGUGUGUGUGGUUUUGCAUGUAUGUGCAUGUAAAUAUGGAGGCCAGAGUACAGCAGGUGUCAUUCCGCAGGUGCCAGCCACUUUUUGUUUUGUUUUGAGAUCAGGUCUCUCACUGGCCUGAACUCACCAAACAGGAUAAGCUGGCUAGCCACUAAGCCAUAGGGACUCACUUAUCUACCUCUGUCUCCCAGUCCUGAGAUUCAAGUGCACACCACCACAUGUAGAUUUUUUUCCUGAGGAUCACACCUGUCUUUUUUCAUGAAAGUUCUGGGGACUGAACUCAUGCAAGGCAAGCACUUUAUCGAUUGAGCUAUUUAUCCCCCAACCCCAUGGCCUGGUGUUCCAUUCCCCCAGCCCCACAGCCUCAGGUUCUACCCCUCAAGCCCCAUGGCCUGGUGUUCUGCCCCUACCCCACCCUGCUCAGCCCCCUGGCCUGCUGUGCUUGUGUGUAGUAUUGGUAUUGAUUUGGGUCAACUCCUUCUUUGCUGAUGAACUUCAGUGUGUAGAAGGAUAAAGGAGACUCUUCAGAGUGAGAGAGAGAGACAGCAGGGCAAGAUUCCCCACACUACAUCUAAGUCAUAGGAGAAUAGUAAAUAAACAAGUAACACUGAGGUAUCAGCACACUGGACCAACCCAGCCUCCUUUCCUCUUAAGUCUCUGCUGUAUGUAAACACUUCAGUCCAGCAGAAGAACACCUCUGGUCUUUAUUCGCUGCCACAUUUGCCUUUGGGUUGGACAGAGUGGGCAUGUCCUUCCUCCAAGGACAACCACCACCUCUCCAAAGACAAGCAGGGCUUUUUAGGACAGGUCAGAGUUGGAAACAGACUGUGGGCUCUGAGUUCUGACCCAGGCAGGGCAGACCUGGUCAUGGUCAUAGCCAUCCACCGAGGCCUGUGAUGUGUGAGCACAUUAGCACAGGGUGGCCCUCAGAUACAACAUUAUUCUCCUAGCUGUAUAGUCUGUAUUCCACAGCCCAGCAGACUCAACAAAAGGAGAGCUCUGCGUUUGGUGUAAAUAUGCUCACUGAGCUUCUCUGUCUCUGUCUCUCUGUCUCUCUGUCUCUGUCUGUCUGUCUCUCCGUGUGUAUUUCUUCUUUUAAGAAUACAUAAUGCAAUCCCCUCCCCUCCCUUACAAUAUUGCUAUCAUUCUGUUUGUGACUUUGACAUAGAUGGUUGGUAGGAACUUCUAAUUUACCAGGAGAGCUUUUAAAAUUAUGAUUUCUUGUGUGUGAGCAUGAGAGAGAGAGAGAGAGAAAGAGAGAGAGACAGAGAGGGGGUGAACUGAGCAAGUGAGGGCACAUAGGGCUCCACAUAGACACACAGGGCACAUAGGUCAUAUAGGCACAUAGGGAACAUAAGCACAUAGGGCACAUAGAGCAUAUAGGCACAUAGGCACAGAGGGCACAUAGGCACAUAGGGUAUAUAGGGCCCAUGGGUCAGGGGUAGCUUUCAGCAGUCAGGUCUCUCACCUGAUUGAGUCAGAGCCCCUUUUUCACUCUUUCGGCUGCUAUGUAGGUCUUCCAGGCUAGUUGGCUCCAGAGCUUCCAGUCAAGUCUCCAAUCUCCACCUCCCACUCUGAGGGAGAGUGCUGGAAUUAUAAAUGUCGGCCAUUGUAUCAGGCUUUUUACAUAGGUUUUCCAGGAUCAGACUCUGGUCACCAGGUUUGCACAGUUAGCACCCCCCUCUACAUUGACACAUCUCCCAGGCCUUAUUACACACACUCACACACACACACUCACACACACACACAUACACACACUCACACACACACUUACACACACACAUUCACACAUACACACUCUCUCUCACACACACACACACACUCACACGCACACACACUCACACACUCUCACACAUACAUACAUACACACCACACACACACAUACAUACACACACACAGACACACACACACAGACACACAGACACACACACACACACGCAGUGCUACAGAGGUGGCUCAGUGGUUAAGAGUAUGUGUUGGUCUUGCAGAGGACCCAUAUUCAGUGUUCAGUUCUAAGCAAACCUCACAGGGUGGUUGACAGCCAUCUGUAACUUCUAUUCCAGGGGACCCAACAUGUUCUUCUGACCUCUGCAGACACCGGGCAAGCACGUGGUACACAUAUACACAGGCAGACAAAACAUUCACACACAUAAAAUAAUCUUUUUAAAAAUUAGACUCAUCCAACUAAACAUAUAUAUAUAUAUAUUUUAGUCCAAAGGGUUUGCUUUCCAAAGAAUUAGGACAAAUUGUUCACCCACAUGCCCAUUCCACACGAAGGCUGGUCUUUCAUCUCAAGAUUUGAAGUCUUCUUGUACUCAAAGCAGCUUUCGUUCCCCAUGGAGAAUCGUCCAUUUUAGCUUUAGGAAAUGCCUGGGUCCUGACUGAUCAUUUCACACAAUCUCUUAUGUGCAUCAGGACCAGCGUAAGACACACCUCCAAGACACCAUGUUUUUUCCAAAAACAUUAUCUUGGGGGAGGAGGUGAAGGAGAACACAAUCUGAUGGACCUCGUAGGAGUAGACUCUGCUUAUGUUGUCUUAAGCAUGGCCCCCAGGGAAGCCCUGUGCUGCUUCUACUCUCCAUAAUAAAACGACUUGAGCCCAGAGUCACCUGCAUGUGCUGAUUCAUUCAUGAUCCAUCACUAAGUGCUUGUUCAGUGUGUCACCCAGUGGCUAGCAGAGUCACCUGCAUGAGCUGAUUCAUUCAGUGAUCCAUCACUAAGCGCUUGUUCAGUGUAUCACCCAGUGGUUAGCAGAGCACUGCCUGGUGGGACUCAGUCUUACCAAGGGGGUCAGAUAAUCAAACCAAGCUUAGUGUAAGGUGAAAGAACCAUAGAGCAGAGUAAGGGGAUGGAAAAGCCAGGGUGUGUGUGCAGGACUGAAAGGGGAAAUAUGACCAGGAUAUAUGGUGUAAAAAAAGAUCUAGUUUCAAUAAAAGGGGGGCAGGGAGCUGUGGCCACAAUGUGCAGAGUUUCUGUAUGACUCCUUGUGGGAAUCACAGUCCCUUGAUUUGCAGGAGUGAAAAAAAAAACAUUCCUUUCCUGCUCUAGUCAAGGCUCAGUCUCAAAGCUCUUACCUUAGAAAACACUUUUCUGAAGUCCAUCUCUGUAGGUUUCUAGCUGCCCAGAGCAGAGGAUGAAACUGUGUGGCGGCUGAUGAGCAGACCUGGGAUUUGUCAUCCUGGGGUCUUCUGAUGUGUGCAGUGCACGUUUCAUUAAAGGAUUCAAGAAUGGAUUGGGAAACAGCUUCAGGUAUCAUUCUUUGGAUGCCUGGCGCUUUUUGGUUUGGUUUGAUUGGUUGGCUAGCUGGUUUGUUUUCUGGUUUUGAGACAGGAUCUUCCCCCUGGCUUCAAACCCACCAAGUUGGCUGAGUCUGGCUUUCCAGGGAGCCCCAGGGACCCAUCUGAAUGCCUUCCUGAUGGGUUUACAUGUUUUUGUGGAUCAAACUCUGGUCCCUGUGUUUGUGAAGUGAGCAUUUUCCUAGCUGAGCUAUCUCCCCAUGCCUUAAGACAUUUAAUUUUUGUCCUGAUCAAAAUAGGAAAAGGGUAAGAUAGAAGGAGCUGAUGAAACAAAUUUUAAAUUAAUUAAAACAGGCAAAGGACUGGGUGUUGGCAAGGGCUGGGCUGCUGGGUGGGUGGCUAUGGCUGGAGCCCUGAUCCAGCCAGUGGAGGAGAUGUCAGGAGAGAAAGACAAGAAUGGGAAGCCCGAUCCACAGAUGCUGGGAUUGAUCUGGAAAAGCUGGGGAGCCUUCUAGGUGCCCUGGGCUCCUUGUCCCUGUAGCGAAAGCUGCCUGCCAGUGCCCCUCUGGGCUGGCUGAAGUAAUUUCCUUCCUGUGUUGGCUAAGCCAUAGUGGCCUCCAGUGUCUUCCUUGGCAUUGACUUGGCCUGAAUAGUUUGCACAGGCGAGAGCUGGGGGGUGGGGGGGGUGAUGGGAGCCCCCAGCCCGGUUCCCAGGUGUCUCCUCUCUCUGAGGCUCCUGGCUGUUCUUCAGGAUGAUGCUGCACUGGUCAUCUGAGGGGCAUAGACAGAAGGCCUAACUGUCUUCCUGCCAGCUGGGAGUUCCCAAGGCUUCUGCACUAGGGGACACAGGGGCUUCUGAUAGCCUGGGCAGAGCCUGCUCUGCUCAGGGCAUGGUAGAGAAUACCCAUCUUGUCCCUUUUCUACAGCGGAGGAAACAGACUCUGAUCUGGCAUCACACAGCUUCUGGGAAGCCCCUAAAAUCUCCACAGCGGUGGGGCGGCGGGGCUUUUGCUCCCAGAUGAAAGAGAGGGAAAUUGCUUGUGGCCUAAUUUUGGCCUGAGAGUGGAAUUUCUGUGCGGUCCAGGCCACUAAAUAGAGAGUAGAGGAACACAGAGAGAGAGAGAUCCGGCUCACAGAGACUGUAGAGAUCGCUAGCUCUCCGAUCAGCCUGGGAGAAGGUUACAGAUCUCCUGCUCAGCAGAGAACUUCCAGCUAACAGCGUGCAGUGCCCUUUAGCCAGUGCAAACGCUGGUGUGGGUAGACCUGUGAAUGGGAAUUUAGGUGUAUAAGUCUCUGUGCACACAAGCCUUUCAGGUACUCGGGUCCAAGGACUUGGAUGUGUGUCCCCUUCAGCAGCUGAGUUGGUCCCCACACAAAAGUAGGAGCUUUUGGUUGGUUCUGUGUUCCUGCUUCUCGGAGGGGGACCUUCGACCUUUUCUUCAAGCCCAGACACCAUCACAGUUACCAACUUCAUUAAUGGAUGGUCUCGGGCCACAGGAGCUGCUGCAUUUAGAACCUGUGCAGAGCGCGCAGCAGCCCGGGCCAAUCCUGCAAGAAGGAGCAGCCCCUCUGCAUCCACGUGUGAGAUCUAGGAAGCAGAAGUGAGCUUUCUAAGCAAUCUCUCUGUGAGCCUACGGUAUGGUACACAACGAUGGCCGGAGGAGCCGGGUCAGAACGCAGCCUCCAAGCCUCCAAGGUAGUUAGGUGCUCUGCCAGGCUGCCCACCUUCAAAACCCAUAAACGGGAAUUUCAAGGGCCAAUUUGACACACACACACACCCCGCGCGCGUUUGAGCUGGCAGCUCAGGGUGUUGUAACAUCAGGUCUGAAGUCCCGCAGAGGUGAAUGCACACUGCCAGCAAAAGGCUUUGGUUCCACUGCCUCUGGCACCGGUGUUGGUGUCUGUCUGGUCUCUCUCCGCAAGCAUGAAUUUCCCUUUCUGAAUUGCUCCCCAGGCGCGGAAAACGCUACCCUAUAUAAGUUGAGGCUUGGGAUUCCGGCUGAUACUGGACCCGCAGCUGUCCUGGCAGUAACGACAGUCCCUAAUGAGCGGGCCUCCGCGGCUCACCUGCUCCGGCCCUUCCUCCACCCUUGCAGCGCGCCCAUCGGUGCCCGCUAAUUGCAAAAGUCUGUCGGCACAGCCUGCUACCCAGAUGGAGGCGUCAGGGACAGAUGGGGUCCAAGCACCUAGGGGGAGCACCCAAGAGCUUCCCUAAAGCCGGCUAAGGAGGUCUGCAGAGAUGCUGAGAGACAGUUGCUCACCCACAAGAUGUCUGGUGGCCCUUGAUGGAGGACCUCCUCUGAUCCCUUCUGGUACUGUAUGGGGGGGGGUACAGAGAGGGGUGAUUAAGCAAAAGUCUGCAGGAGUAAAAGGAGUUUAAUACAGCUGGAGGGUGUUGGGGCCUAAGAUGAGUUUGAGGGCAGCAUCGGCAUGGAGGUACUUAAUUAAUAAUGUUCAGAGUUCUAAGCUGAUUUUGCCCUAAGAAGAAACAGGCAUUUCUCUAUCAUGGAGUACAUGAGAUUAUCAUCUGGGGGAGGGGAGGGUUAAACAGCACCAUAGGUGGGCCUCUUGGUACAGGUCUGGAGUUCCAACUACUCAGGAAACUGAAGAAGAAAGAUUGAAUGUCCAAGGACUGCCCGGCUUACAGAUGAGUUCAAAGCUACCUUGGGCCACUUAGUAAAAACCUGUCUCAAAAUAAGUUUAAAAAGUAAGUAAAUGAAUGAGACAGCAGUAGAGGCGACUGCUUAUCAUUCACAAGAUUCGAUCCCAGACACCCAAACCAAACUACAAAGGAGCAUUUACCCCAUGAAGGAAAAGGAGGAAGGUCUUGCCUGGUUGGCUGAUGGAGCACCAGAUUGGGGUGUCCCUGGCACACUAAAGUCCUGGGCCUCCCUGGGAGUGAACCCUCUGCGCCACCCCCCCAGUGUGUUCCUCUGUUGGCAUAGCCACAUGGUCUGCCAGUUUGCUUUACCCCCUGUUCACUGUCACUAGUAUGUGGAACUCCUCGGUGACAUCAGAGAUAUCUUGUGGCUCAGGCAAAUCCUCCAACACUGAGCCUGGGAAAUCGGACCUUUUUCUAUGACUUUUCACGGGAGAGUGGAGACCCUGGGGACAGUUGUAGGGGAGUUGUGGCUCUGCUCCUCUCCUGGGUGAGGCCCACUGAGCUCUGUCUACUCCAUCUCCAGUUGAGCUUAAGCCUUAGCCAAAGUCUCUCAGAUCAUGUGUCUGACGAGUCCUCUGGGGGAGGGGGUGGGGGAGGGGGAGGGGGAGGGGUGGAGCUUGCCUGAAAGCUGAAGGAUCACUAAGGCCACAAAGAGGGGCAUGGCUGGGUAGAGGCAUGGGUUAAGGACCCACAAAAGUCAAUGUGGUCUGUCCCCUCUCAAGGUAGAUCAACCACUGAUCUGAGACAUCUACCCUGACCCUCAGCAGCCUAGAGCUACCCUGGGAGAGGAGCUAUCAGUGGUGGUUGGAGGUCUGUCAUGCUUCCUGGUGAGCACUUCCCCCCAAGGCCAGGGAAGCUGGGAGCCCAGGGCUUUGAACAGCUGAGGCUAAUGUCUCAGGGGAGGGUCCAGAGCCUGGCUGGACUUAACUCCCUCGUUGGUGGGGCUAGGAGGUUCUUAGCAUGGACCCCGCCAAGAUACUUAGGAACAGAGAUGGCAAAGCAGACUUGAUUUCUUUCAUCGGAACAAUUGCCUUCUGUGCCUAAGGCCUGGGCAGAGGCUUGCAAAGCACCGCUGGGUGAACAAGCUUCAGACACUGUGCCAUUCCCCAUCACUGCCCUCCAGGUUCUUAGCUAAGUGCUGGGGAUUUCCCACUUCCUAGCAUCCCUUGGUGUGUGUCUGCAUCGAGGCCUGGACUCUGUCUCAAACACCGGACUUUGAUUUUCAGUGGGAUUUUGGAACAAACAGAACCAGACCUGCCGAACCCUGCCUUUUCUUGAGCUUAGUCUUCUCUUUCCUUUCUCCAUUCCACAUCUGCCUCCUAGUCUUAAGGAGGAAACAAAUGAAGGCCUUUGUGAUAAGCAAAGUAGGACCCACAGCACGCUGGGCACACCAGAGCCUGAAGUUCUGGCUAGCAGACAGGCGUUACCCACUGGAGGAAGGAGCCGUUCUUGUCCCAGAGCUAGCCUAUGGGUCCACAGAAGGUCUUCCUUCACUAGGGUCCAAGUAACGCGUUCCUGAACCAGCCCAGCUGGGAGGAAAGAAACAAAACAAAACAAAACAAAACAAACAACAAAAAGAACUCUCAGUUUCCAAGUCUAGGUACCGUCUGCCAGUGAUCACCCAACAUGUCAUCUGUUAAAGGAUCUGAUGCCCAGCAUCAGGCUGACACUUCAGAAAUUGGUGACAGAGGGGCGACUGGAACUGAAUCUGCUUCAAGUUUUAUCCAGGAAACUGAAGCUUUAAAAAUUUUCUCUUAGAAUCUCUCUUGAGAGUAAAACCCUACCUUUGCACCACUGUUUAGGAUUCUAAGACACUCAGUGACUGUGAAAAGACAGAAGUUGCCCCAGAAAAAUCCACAGCCCCCCCCCCCCCGCAAGAGAGCCGCCUCUAAAACCAGGAAGGUUCCCAGAGCCAUAGGUUCCCAGCGCCCACACUUUGCCGGUGGCGGACGGGCAGGCUGAGAAAGGAUGGAAGAGACUGGUGAAUCCUCAUCAAACACCCCUGCAGAGCUUUGCACAAAAUUCCCAGGCUUUGCCGGUACACCGGGACCCAAGAGUCGGCUCAGCUGAAUCCAGUGGUGCUGUGAGGCCCAGUGAACGCUCCUGAGCUUAGAGAAAAGAAACUCUUGGCUGAAGAGGGCUUUGUUAAAGCUCCCAGAACCUCCGCAGAGGCUCGGUCCCUGGCCCUGAAGGUCCAAAGUUCGGCACUCCUGGAAAGAAAAUUCAUUCUUGAACUAGCUCUAUUUUCACUAGAAGGGGAAAGGGAGUUUCCAAUUAGGCGUGCAAAAUAAAAAAGCACAAGAAAGCUGUGAUACACAUCCGGAGAGCGUGCUCUUUUAAAGAAAACAUGUGUUGGGGGAGGGAGGGAGUAGUAAAAAUCCCUUAUCUUUCUCCAUGGCUAAGCCAGCAAAACGAGCUACAAAUCCGUCCCCAGAGGAAUCGCUGUCCCUAGCGUCUCCUUGUCCCUCCCCCGUAACUCCCUCACACAAACUGAAAACACCUGCCUUGCUUUAAAUUUUAUUUAAAAUCUCAACACUCCAUCAUUUGUUUCGUUUUAUGCAACCAAACAAGUAAUAAAUAUUAUUUAGCACUUCUUUUUCUUUACAAAAAUAAAACAGGUGAUAGAUACACUCUGCAGGGGCAGCGCGGAAGAGGUGGAAGGUUAGGAGGCAGGCGCAGUAAAGCCCACGUUGUAAUGCAGGUCGCGCCAGGGAGCGCGCAUGAAGGGGUUUGCCCCUCGUGUUAACGGUGGCAAAAGGUGUGUGUGUGGGAGGGCAACGACACAGAAAGAAAACAGCGGGCUUAGACGGAGGGGGGAGUCACGUGAACAAAGAGCUUCGCAUCGCGCAUUUCGUUGAUAUUAUAUUUACACACACAAGAAAUUAUUAAAAACCCAACAGAAUACCCCCUCCCAAAAA